ACUAGAAGCACAAUUACCCCAAAUAUAAGAACCAUAACUGAGGUUGAAUCAACCACUGAUCAUCUCAGUACAGAGAGUCCUUCUCCUGAUCCACCUUCAACUAAAGAAGUGGACCAAACAAUAAUCACUACCAGUGAACCUCCAUCUACCACUACCACAAGAAGCACAAUUACCCCAAAUAUAAGAACCACAACUGAGAUUGAAUCAACCACUGAACAUCUCAGUACUGACACUGCCUCACUUUUGCAGUCCACAACCAAAGAAGUGGACCAAACAAGAACUUUUUCCAUGACUCAGAAUAAAAGAACCACAAGUCUGAUUAAAUCAACCACUGGCCAUUUCAGUUCAGAUUAUAUCUCAUCUGAUCAGCCUUCAACCAAAGAAGUGGACCAAACAAGACUCACCUCAACGACCCCAAAUAAAAUAAGCACCAUCAAAGAACAAUCAACCAGUACAGAGAGUACUUCUCCUGAGCAGCCUACAACCCUACAGCUGGAGAAAUCAACAUCCCUUCCUGAACAAACUCCUCAUUCCACCAGACACACAGAGACUCCAAAUGAAAGAACCACCACUGAGAUUGAAUCAACCACUGGUCAUCUCAGUACAGAGAUUAUCUCCUCUGAUC